rnacentral:misc_RNA from 2 species
AUUGGCCGUUCCAAACUACUUGAUU